GAUGAAGAACGUAGCGAAAUGCGAUAAGUAAUGUGAAUUGCAGAAUUCAGAGAACCAUCGAAUCUUUGAACGCACAUUGCGCCCGGCAGUAAUCUGCCGGGCAUGCCUGUCCGAGCGUCAUUUCUCCCCUCGAGCGCAGCUUUCCCCCCCGGGGGAGGGCCGCGCCCGGUGUUGGGGCGCUACGGAGGAGCCCAGCGCUCCCCCGUAGGCCCCGAAAUGUAGUGGCGGUCCCGCCGCGGCGCCCCCUGCGUAGUAGUUUUACAACUCGCAUCGGGUCCCGGCGGAGGCCAGCCGUCAAACCCCCCAACUUCAAUAGUUUGACCUCGGAUCAGGUAGGGUUACCCGCUGAACUUAAGCAUAUCAAUAAGCGGAGGA
rnacentral:misc_RNA from 1 species